rnacentral:rRNA from 1 species
UACGAAGGGGGCGAGCGUUGUUCGGAUUUACUGGGCGUAAAGGGCGCGCAGGCGGCUUUGUUUGUCAGGCGUGAAAGCCCCGGGCUUAACCUGGGAACUGCGUUUGAUACGGCAGGGCUAGAGUUCGGGAGAGGAGAGUGGAAUUCCCAGUGUAGAGGUGAAAUUCGUAGAUAUUGGGAAGAACACCGGUGGCGAAGGCGGCUCUCUGGACCGAUACUGACGCUGAGGCGCGAAAGCGUGGGGAGCAAACAGGGAUUAAGAAACCCCUGGUGACGUCCA